GCGAAUGCCUUCUAGGGUUCCGCGGAAUGUAUUGCUUACUUCCGGGCUGGUCCAAGAGGAGGCGCGUGCCGAUCGGCGCGUACACGGAGGGAAAAAAACCCGGGAGGU
rnacentral:sRNA from 2 species